CAGGCUUAACACAUGCAAGUCGAGGGGCAGCAUUUUAGUUUGCUUGCAAACUGAAGAUGGCGACCGGCGCACGGGUGAGUAACACGUAUCCAACCUGCCGAUAACUCCGGAAUAGCCUUUCGAAAGAAAGAUUAAUACCGGAUAGCAUACGAAUAUCGCAUGAUAUUUUUAUUAAAGAAUUUCGGUUAUCGAUGGGGAUGCGUUCCAUUAGUUUGUUGGCGGGGUAACGGCCCACCAAGACAACGAUGGAUAGGGGUUCUGAGAGGAAGGUCCCCCACAUUGGAACUGAGACACGGUCCAAACUCCUACGGGAGGCAGCAGUGAGGAAUAUUGGUCAAUGGGCGAGAGCCUGAACCAGCCAAGUAGCGUGAAGGAUGAAGGCUCUAUGGGUCGUAAACUUCUUUUAUAUGGGAAUAAAGUUUUCCACGUGUGGAAUUUUGUAUGUACCAUAUGAAUAAGGAUCGGCUAACUCCGUGCCAGCAGCCGCGGUAAUACGGAGGAUCCGAGCGUUAUCCGGAUUUAUUGGGUUUAAAGGGAGCGUAGGUGGAUUGUUAAGUCAGUUGUGAAAGUUUGCGGCUCAACCGUAAAAUUGCAGUUGAAACUGGCAGUCUUGAGUACAGUAGAGGUGGGCGGAAUUCGUGGUGUAGCGGUGAAAUGCUUAGAUAUCACGAAGAACUCCGAUUGCGAAGGCAGCUCACUAGACUGUCACUGACACUGAUGCUCGAAAGUGUGGGUAUCAAACAGGAUUAGAUACCCUGGUAGUCCACACAGUAAACGAUGAAUACUCGCUGUUUGCGAUAUACAGUAAGCGGCCAAGCGAAAGCAUUAAGUAUUCCACCUGGGGAGUACGCCGGCAACGGUGAAACUCAAAGGAAUUGACGGGGGCCCGCACAAGCGGAGGAACAUGUGGUUUAAUUCGAUGAUACGCGAGGAACCUUACCCGGGCUUAAAUUGCAACAGAAUAUAUUGGAAACAGUAUAGCCGUAAGGCUGUUGUGAAGGUGCUGCAUGGUUGUCGUCAGCUCGUGCCGUGAGGUGUCGGCUUAAGUGCCAUAACGAGCGCAACCCUUAUCUUUAGUUACUAACAGGUGAUGCUGAGGACUCUAGAGAGACUGCCGUCGUAAGAUGUGAGGAAGGUGGGGAUGACGUCAAAUCAGCACGGCCCUUACGUCCGGGGCUACACACGUGUUACAAUGGGGGGUACAGAAGGCGGCUACCUGGUGACAGGAUGCUAAUCCCAAAAACCUCUCUCAGUUCGGAUCGAAGUCUGCAACCCGACUUCGUGAAGCUGGAUUCGCUAGUAAUCGCGCAUCAGCCAUGGCGCGGUGAAUACGUUCCCGGGCCUUGUACACACCGCCCGUCAAGCCAUGAAAGCCGGGGGUACCUGAAGUACGUAACCGCAAGGAGCGUCCUAGGGUAAAACUGGUAAUUGGGGC
rnacentral:rRNA from 1 species